UUUCGAAAAGCUUCAAAGAAAAGAGUCUUAUUCAAAUUAAAAAGCGAAAAGUGUAUAUACUGGGGCCAAAAAAAACCCUAUCGUUUCUAAGAACAUUUGGGGAAGAAUUUCAACCAACAAAAUCUGGGUCAUGGAAGUUAAAGCUCCAAAACGGAUCAAAACCCAAGAACAAGAAGAAGAUAGAAUAAGCUUAUUAUCAGAUCGUUUGAUUAUCGAAGAAAUCCUUCCUCGUUUGGAGUCCACAAAAUCCGCAAUUAGAACAGGUGCUCUUUCCAAAAGAUGGCGACAUCUUUGGCCUUUAGUUCCAUCUCUUCAUUUUACUGAUUAUUCAUUUAAAAAACUACACCCCUUUUUUAUUUCUAAACCCUUACCCGAAUUCUAUACAUCUGUUGAUAAAACCCUAGAUCAAUGCAAGUUCAAGAAUUUAAAAAAAUUUAGUGUUAGUGCCAAUUACUGUUUCUAUUUCGAAUCCGAUGUCGAUAAAUGGAUUCAGUUUGUUAUUAGCUGUAAAGUCCAAAACUUUCACAUGGAUUUAAAUUAUAAGCAUUUUACAGACCAGUUUGUAUUCGAAGACGAAUCAUUUUUUAUCAAUUCCCAUUUUACCCAUCUGCAUUUGGAACACUGCUUGUUUUAUCCAACCGGGCCGAUUAGUUGGAACAAUCUUACCCAUUUAACGAUUUCGUAUGCGAGAUUAGACCAUGAUUUGAUUGAAGAUAUAUUAUCUGGGAGUCCUGUGUUGGAUACUUUGAGGUUGGUCGAUUGUUAUGGUUAUUUAUGGAUCAAUGUUACUUCUAAGAGUGUUAAGAAUUUGGUGUUUCAUGGAUAUAAUAAUCUUGAUGAUAAAAGUGAUAAUCUUGAAGAUGUUAUUGAAAUCAAUGCUCCUUAUAUUAAAUCACUAAAAAUUUGUGGGUAUUUGUUGUUAUGGAAGCUUGUGUUGCGAGAUGUGUCUUCUUUAGUCAAAGCUGAGUUAGAUUAUACCAAGAUGGGGUAUAAUGAGAUGACAUCUAAAGUAGAGAGAGAAGAGAUGCUUAAAAGGUUUAUACUGCGCCUUCACCAUGUCAAAGAGCUCAAAAUCGGGAUUGAUUGUUAUACGGUUUUCUCUCGUUUGGAGGCUAAAGGUUUCAUUUUUCCAUCUAGCUUGAAGGUUGUAAAAGUUGAUUAUCCUAUUUAUGAUACCGAUUCGACAGAGCUGGGUGAUUCCUCUGAUAGCGACUCAUCUGUUGGUGACACAGCUGUAGAUUCGGAGGAAGAUAUUUUACUUGAUGAUUGGUCCUGGAGAGGACGAGGCUAAUUAAUAGACAUGGCAAUAUGAAUUCUGGUUAAUUUCUAGGGCAUGUUAAUUAGUAGACAUGGCAGAUUCCUUACUAUGAAGCUGUUUGAUAUUCAAUGGUCACGUGGAGUGGUAAUGGCUAAGGAUUAUAUAUCAGAAUGGUAGAAGGUGGUUCAAAGCUUUCAAGGACCCAUCGAAAGAAAGACUUGCUUUUAUGAUCAUUGACUUCCACCAAAUGGAAAGUUUGCAAUUAACACUGUAGCAAUAUUCAUUUAUGGUAAUCUACGUUGUUGUAAAUUUUACAAUAAUCCUUUUUCAAGUUGCAUAGUAUGCUUAGUGUGCAACUUAAGCAAUC